CUCAUUUCUUCAGCAAACCACCCGCGCCUUCUCACUUCCUUCUCCCACUCUCUGCAGGUACAGGUUCGAACAAUGGUGGAAGAAGAUGCAUCUUCGAUGGAUUCUCCGAUCUCUUGUUGCAUUGCUUGUUCUUUUGAAUCACUAGCAGAUAAGGAAUGUGGUUGCGCGCUUCAAAUGCUACCGCCUGUUCACUCCGGCCUACUGAGAUCUGCGGGAGCUACAUUUUGACCUUCCGACUUGUACCAGAUUUAUCGAUCGUCCACAGAUAUCUGCCUGCAUUCUCAAAGCCGACAGGAUUGUUUGGAAUGACAUAAUAUUUCUCGUUUAUUGGGUGGAAUUGGCAAUCGGGAUGUUUUUGGUUGAAGU